CAGGUGAAAAUAAAGAUCCUGCAAAGGAAUGUACUUGCAGCACUGUCCAGUCCCUUGGAGAAUACAGGUGACUGGGCAGAAGUCAAGAGUCAAAAUGGUCUACCUGCUACCCAGAGAAGCCUUCCUGCACUAUGUGCAGUAUUUCCAGACAUUGAAGGAGUAAUUUGAGCCCUCAUCCUUCUCUGAAGACUUUUGAAGCAACUGGAAGAUCAUACUCAGGCACUGCAGCCC
rnacentral:lncRNA from 1 species